rnacentral:other from 1 species
AACACCCUGCGGGGCGCGUGAUGGUAUCAACUAAAUUUGAACCAACACUUAUUUGAUCGGGAGUCCGAUUUUCUGCGUGGUGUGUGGGCCUCACCCCUCGGGGUUCCAAGGUCCCCUAAAGCGUAGAUAGGAUGCCCACCUGUGUGAACAGGUUCAAAUAGGUGAGCCACACGGCUGCCGCGGGACCCCC